AGAACGAACGCUGGCGGCAGGCUUAACACAUGCAAGUCGAGCGCUGUAGCAAUACAGAGCGGCAGACGGGUGAGUAACGCGUGGGAACGUACCCCCGGUUCGGAAUAACUCAGGGAAACUUGAGCUAAUACCGGAUACGGCUUAACGGCGAAAGAUUUAUCGCCGGGGGAUCGGCCCGCGUCCGAUUAGCUAGUUGGUGUGGUAAUGGCGCACCAAGGCGACGAUCGGUAGCUGGUCUGAGAGGAUGAUCAGCCACAUUGGGACUGAGACACGGCCCAAACUCCUACGGGAGGCAGCAGUGGGGAAUAUUGGACAAUGGGCGAAAGCCUGAUCCAGCCAUGCCGCGUGAGUGAUGAAGGCCUUAGGGUUGUAAAGCUCUUUCACCCACGACGAUAAUGACGGUAGUGGGAGAAGAAGCCCCGGCUAACUUCGCGCCAGCAGCCGC
rnacentral:rRNA from 1 species